rnacentral:misc_RNA from 1 species
GAUGAAGAACGCAGCGAAAUGCGAUAAGUAAUGUGAAUUGCAGAAUUCAGUGAAUCAUCGAGUCUUUGAACGCACAUUGCGCCCCUUGGUAUUCCGAGGGGCAUGCCCGUUCGAGCGUCAUUAUACCCCUCAAGCCUAGCUUGGUGUUGGGGCCUGCUGUUACCGGCAGCCCUUAAAAUCAGUGGCGGUGCCAUCUGGCUCUAAGCGUAGUAAUACUUCUCGCUACAGGGUCCCGGUGGAUGCUUGCCAUCAACCCCUAAUUUUCUAUGGUUGACCUCGGAUCGGGUAGGGAUACCCGCUGAACUUAAGCAUAUCAAUAAGCGGAGGA